AGCCCCCACAAUGCCGCUCAGAAAAUGGUCCCAACCCGGAAGUAAGAAAAAUUGCAGUUCCACCCUCAUCCGCUGGGGGCUGGUACCAGAAGCGAGCAAAUCCUCAUUGACUCCCAUGUUAAAAAUGCCAUUUUCACAGCAGAAAUAAACAUGUUUACAGCCUGGUUCAAAAAAUGGUUUUUUGUCUAAAUUAUCUAGUUUAUACUCAUGACAACUCUGAGGGGGGUGAAUUUUUUUCUCACUCUUCUGUUUAAGUGUAUUGAAAGCCUAAAAUUCUGUAUAAUUAAUGAGCAUCCAACACACGUGACCGCCGCCUCAGACCCACGUGACCACAGAGCUAGCUCCGUGGAAAGGCCUCAGUACAGCCUCGGUCUCUCCUGGAAACUGUGUCGGGAUUUUGAGUCUCUGUGCUUGUGAAUUCUGUUUUGGAUAAUAUUGGUGCAAUUGUUGGACAAAAUGACUUGCAGUGGUAUUAAUUGCACUAAUAGAGCGUCCAAGGAGUCUCCACUUCAUUUUUUUCGGGAAGGACCUGAUUGGUGUCCAGAACCUGCUGAAGAAGCACGAGGCUCUGCAGGCUGAGAUCACAGGUCAUGAACCUCGCAUCAAGGCUGUCACCCAGAAAGGAGAGACCAUAAUGGAGGAAGGUAGAGCAGGUCUGGUCCUGACAUGUUUCUGAGGUGUCUGCAGGUUCUGGCUCACUUUGUUUGGGUCCAGGUCACUUCGCUGGUUCAGAACCCUCGGCCCGUCAGAACAUUCUUAUCCACCACGUUCUAACACCAGACCUGUUAACCCGACAGCAACAAGUGGCUCCAACUGACGAUGAGACCGGGAAGGAGCUGGUUCUGGCUCUGUACGACUACCAGGAGAAGAGUCCUGGAGAGGUCACCAUGAAGAAGGGCGACAUCCUCACGCUGCUCAACAGCACCAACAAGGUUGUUUUACUUGAACUCGCGUCUUUAGCUGAAUGAGGAUGGAGAGACGGGUCGGACCUGGAGCAGGUCGAGGUCUUGCAGAAGAAGUUUGACGACUUCCAGAAGGACCUGAAGGCCAACGAGUCCCGCCUGAGGGACAUCAACAAGGUGGCAUCUGAACUGGAGUCAGAAGGUCUGAUGGCUGAGGAGGCUCCUAUGGUUCAGGCUCAGCAACAAGAACAUCUGGGUUCUGCUCCUGGAAAGGAUGAAGCCGACUCUAACCCCGGCUUUCCACAGGAGUCGUCAGCAGCACGUUUACUGCAGCAGCACGUCAUAGCUGCUGAUAGGAACCGCUGUGGUCAACAGAACCUUUUCCACCGGAGCCGUCAGCAGCGCGAGUCGGCCGCGUCUCAGGAGCAGCAUGUCGCGGCCUUUACGCGCCGGUUCUAUUUUCUACGCGCGACGCCUCUGAAACGGGUCAAGUUCGACAUUUUUGGGGAAGGAAAGACAGGAAAUCGGACGCGGAAAUUGAGAGAAGCUACCGAGAUUUUCAGAAUAAAGAACGUACUGCCUUCCGGUUGCUUUACUUUUAAAAAAGGUUACUAACUGAGCGGCCCCGUGAGAAGUUAUCACCUAGCUAGCGGUCUCCUUUGUUUUUCAGGUCCGUAUUGGCGAUUAUAAAACGGACAGAACAUAAAACACAAACCAUGUUGUAGUUUUCUCCUGCUUGUUGUUGUGUUUACUGACGAAGUCACUCGAGUGACUUCGUGCUCGGUCGGUGACAGCUGCUCCCCUGCUGCUUCGCGUCUCGUGGGAAGGGCCAAGCAGCAGCUUACGCGAGCAAGACGUGCUGCUGCAGUAACGUGCUGCUGACGGCUCCCGUGGAAACCCGGGGUAACACGGCGUCACCCUAGAAGGUGAGUUCAUUCAGCUGAUCAGAGGUCACCUCUGAUGGCCGCAGUCACGGCCGACCGUGCUGACAUCACAUAGGAAUUCAGGUGACCCGGCAGGCACCAGGUGCUGGUGAAAGUGGGGACAUGUCAGCUGGUUGCCAUGGCUACAGUUAUCUUUAUGCAUCUGUAUGACUGCUGACUGGUGUGUGUUUCCUGUGACCUUUGACCUCAGACCGUACGGUUGGGCGUUCAGACGACGGCUAACUUUAAUUCCAUCAAGGUAAGAGGAAGCUCUUCCCUUCCUGUCUGAGCGAUCCGUCUCCAGGUUUCCUCGUCCGGCGUCCAGCCCGCUGGCGUCCACCUUCAUCUCACUGGGUUUGGUUUCUCUCCAGGAGCUGAACAACCGCUGGCGCUCGCUGCAACAUGCUGGGCAGCGCCCAUGAGGUGCAGCGCUUCCACAGAGACGCUGAUGAGACCAAAGAGUGGAUCGAGGAGAAGAACCAGGCCCUGAACACAGACAACUACGGCCACGACCUGGCCAGCGUUCAGGCUCUGCAGCGUGAACAUGAAGGCUUUGAGCGUGACCUGGCAGCUUUGGGUGAUAAGGUCCGCAUUCCUGAUCGGUACCAGGACCCGAGUUGUCUCUGGAGACACGUUCUUCAUGGUUCUGGUGACUCCACCCCAGCCGUUCCUGAUCAGCGAUCAGCGGGGUGCUUUCCUAUUUAAGGUGGAUGGAGGACACAAUUUGACGCCAGAAGAUUGCCUCAGUUUUGGAUUCCUGUCGACCUCAUUGGAUACUGACCUCUACUCCAGGAUUUGGAUAUUCAACACACGGACCUUAUCACCACCCUCCAUAACCCACCUCUCAUCUCACCCAGUGCCCCAUCCACCAGGACGCCCCGCUUCUCUCCACCUCUGCUCCCUCUCCUGCGCUUCCCCCGGCUCUCUACCUCUCUCUCCUCCAGCCAACACGUACACCCACCACAAUGCUGAGCUGUUGUUGCAGUUCCAACCACAGACUUAUCUGUGCACCUUAAGUUCCUCCUUAUAAAUAAAUCAUUUUUUUCCAUCA